GGGGAGGGGGUGUGGUGUGCUAAAAUCAAGUAUUUUUUCCAAUAUUGCAGCCACGCACACUGCAGUUUCUGGGCAUAUCAAGAUAAAUGAGCUUGGGUAAAUUCUCUUUCUCAAAUAAGACAUGUCUAGGGUUUAGACAUUGAAAAUAAUGCAUUGCUAUUGUAACUCUGCUCUGUUAAAAUCCAAAUUACAAUCUGCAAAUAACAGAUUUUCAUUUUUUACAAACAUGUUUCAAAACAACAAAAUUAUGAACUGUGAACAAUGAAAAACACUGGAUAAAAAAAAUACCCGCAAGCUUAAUUAUUCAUUUUGGAGCCCACGUAGCACUGUUCAUAUACAGUGUGUUAAAAUUCAAAACAAUAUAGUAACACACCCACGUACAAUACCAAGUUCCAAAACAAAAGGAU
rnacentral:misc_RNA from 1 species